rnacentral:rRNA from 1 species
AGUGAACGCUGGCGGUAGGCCUAACACAUGCAAGUCGAACGGCAGCACAGUAAGAGCUUGCUCUUACGGGUGGCGAGUGGCGGACGGGUGAGGAAUACAUCGGAAUCUACUUUUUCGUGGGGGAUAACGUAGGGAAACUUACGCUAAUACCGCAUACGACCUACGGGUGAAAGCAGGGGAUCUUCGGACCUUGCGCGAUUGAAUGAGCCGAUGUCGGAUUAGCUAGUUGGCGGGGUAAAGGCCCACCAAGGCGACGAUCCGUAGCUGGUCUGAGAGGAUGAUCAGCCACGCUGGAACUGAGACACGGUCCAGACUCCUACGGGAGGCAGCAGUGGGGAAUAUUGGACAAAGGGCGCAAGCCUGAUCCAGCCAUACCGCGUGGGUGAAGAAGGCCUUCGGGUUGUAAAGCCCUUUUGUUGGGAAAGAAAAGCAGCAGGUUAAUACCCCGCUGUUCUGACGGUACCCAAAGAAUAAGCACCGGCUAACUUCGGG